GGCUUAGAGUUUGAUCAUGGCUCAGGAUGAACGCUAGCGGCAGGCCUAACACAUGCAAGUCGAGGGGCAUCGGGAUUGAAGCUUGCUUCAAUUGCCGGCGACCGGCGCACGGGUGCGUAACGCGUAUGUAACCUACCUAUAACAGGGGCAUAACACUGAGAAAUUGGUACUAAUUCCCCAUAAUAUUCGGAGAGGCAUCUCUCCGGGUUGAAAACUCCGGUGGUUAUAGAUGGACAUGCGUUGUAUUAGCUAGUUGGUGAGGUAACGGCUCACCAAGGCAACGACACAUAGGGGGACUGAGAGGUUAACCCCCCACACUGGUACUGAGACACGGACCAGACUCCUACGGGAGGCAGCAGUGAGGAAUAUUGGUCAAUGGACGCAAGUCUGAACCAGCCAUGCCGCGUGCAGGAAGACGGCUCUAUGAGUUGUAAACUGCUUUUGUACGAGGGUAAACUCACCUACGUGUAGGUGACUGAAAGUAUCGUACGAAUAAGGAUCGGCUAACUCCGUGCCAGCAGCCGCGGUAAUACGGAGGAUUCAAGCGUUAUCCGGAUUUAUUGGGUUUAAAGGGUGCGUAGGCGGUUUGAUAAGUUAGAGGUGAAAUCCCGGGGCUUAACUCCGGAACUGCCUCUAAUACUGUUAGACUAGAGAGUAGUUGCGGUAGGCGGAAUGUAUGGUGUAGCGGUGAAAUGCUUAGAGAUCAUACAGAACACCGAUUGCGAAGGCAGCUUACCAAACUAUAUCUGACGUUGAGGCACGAAAGCGUGGGGAGCAAACAGGAUUAGAUACCCUGGUAGUCACGCAGUAAACGAUGAUAACUCGUUGUCGGCGAUACACAGUCGGUGACCAAGCGAAAGCGAUAAG
rnacentral:rRNA from 1 species